rnacentral:rRNA from 1 species
UAGGGAAUCUUCCACAAUGGGCACAAGCCUGAUGGAGCAACACCGCGUGAGUGAAGAAGGGUUUCGGCUCGUAAAGCUCUGUUGUUAAAGAAGAACACGUAUGAGAGUAACUGUUCAUACGUUGACGGUAUUUAACCAGAAAGUCACGGCUAACUACGUGUCAG